rnacentral:lncRNA from 1 species
ACUAUACUUUAUCUCCUGACGAAGCAAAAUCUGUUUGUCGAUGGGUAAAAGAAGUGAAGAUGCCAGACGGUUAUUCGUCGAAUUUGGCGAGAUGCGCUGAUGUUGACCACGGAAGGAUGCGUGGGAUGAAAAGUCAUGAUUGUCAUGUUUUUUUCCAGACUUUACUUCCGAUUGCAUUUAGUUCUUUACCCCAACAUGUAUUGAAUCCGCUUAUUGAAAUCAGUCA